rnacentral:rRNA from 1 species
GACGUAGGGGGCGAGCGUUGUCCGGAUUUAUUGGGCGUAAAGGGUGCGUAGGCGGCGGAGUAAGUUGGGUGUGAAAUCCCGGGGCUCAACCUCGGAAUUGCAUUCAAUACUGCUUCGCUUGAGCACUGGAGAGGAGGCUGGAAUUUACGGUGUAGCAGUGAAAUGCGUAGAUAUCGUAAGGAAGGCCGGUGGCGAAAGCGAGCCUCUGGACAGUUGCUGACGCUGAUGCACGAAGGCCAGGGGAGCAAACGGG